rnacentral:rRNA from 1 species
UGAGGAAUUUUGCGCAAUGGGAGCAAUCCUGACGCAGCAACGCCGCGUGGGUGAUGAAGGCCUUCGGGUCGUAAAGCCCUGUCAGGUGGGAAGAAUGUCCCGGGACUGAACAGGUUCCGGGAGUGACGGUACCACCAGAGGAAGCACCGGCUAACUCCGUGCCAGCAGCCGCGGUACUACGGAGGGUGCAAGCGUUAUUCGGAAUUACUGGGCUUAAAGCGCGGGUAGGCGGGCCUGCAAGUCUGAUGUGAAGGCCCCGGGCUUAACCCGGGAAGUGCAUUGGAAACUGUGGGACUUGAGUACUGGAGAGGAUGGGGGAAUUCCCGGUGUAGAGGUGAAAUUCGUAGAGAUCGGGAGGAAUAUCAGUGGCGAAGGCGCCCAUCUGGACGGUAACUGACGCUGAGACGCGAAAGCGUGGGGAGCAAACA